AGUCGAGCGGUAGAGAGAGGCUUGCUUCUCUUGAGAGCGGCGGACGGGUGAGUAAUGCCUAGGAAUCUGCCUGGUAGUGGGGGAUAACGUUCGGAAACGGACGCUAAUACCGCAUACGUCCUACGGGAGAAAGCAGGGGACCUUCGGGCCUUGCGCUAUCAGAUGAGCCUAGGUCGGAUUAGCUAGUUGGUGGGGUAAUGGCUCACCAAGGCGACGAUCCGUAACUGGUCUGAGAGGAUGAUCAGUCACACUGGAACUGAGACACGGUCCAGACUCCUACGGGAGGCAGCAGUGGGGAAUAUUGGACAAUGGGCGAAAGCCUGAUCCAGCCAUGCCGCGUGUGUGAAGAAGGUCUUCGGAUUGUAAAGCACUUUAAGUUGGGAGGWRGGGCAGUUACUUAAUACGUGAUUGUCUUGACGUUACCGACAGAAUAAGCACCGGCUAACUCUGUGCCAGCAGCCGCGGUAAUACAGAGGGUGCAAGCGUUAAUCGGAAUUACUGGGCGUAAAGCGCGCGUAGGUGGUUAGUUAA
rnacentral:rRNA from 1 species